CUAACCUUGCUCAAGCACACCAUGUUGUGUGUGUGUAAUAUAAAUUAACAACACCAUGUUGUGCUUGAGCAAGGUUAGGG